GCACUUGCUUUGGCAGUACAUAUACUAAAAUUGGGAUGAUACAGAGAAGAUUAGCAUGGCCCCUGUGCAAGGAUGACACACAAAUUCGUGACGCAUUCCAUAUUUUU
rnacentral:snRNA from 1 species